rnacentral:rRNA from 1 species
GGGGAAUAUUGGACAAUGGGGGCAACCCUGAUCCAGCAAUGCCGCGUGUGUGAAGAAGGUCUUCGGAUUGUAAAGCACUUUCGACGGGGACGAUGAUGACGGUACCCCGUAGAAGAAGCCCCGGCUAACUUCGUGCCAGCAGCCGCGGUAAUACGAAGGGGGCUAGCGUUGCUCGGAAUGACUGGGCGUAAAGGGCGUGUAGGCGGUUUACACAGUCAGAUGUGAAAUCCCCGGGCUUAACCUGGGAGCUGCAUUUGAUACGUGUAGACUAGAGUGUGAGAGAGGGUUGUGGAAUUCCCAGUGUAGAGGUGAAAUUCGUAGAUAUUGGGAAGAACACCGGUGGCGAAGGCGGCAACCUGGCUCAUGACUGACGCUGAGGCGCGAAAGCGUGGGGAGCAAACAGGAUUAGAUACCCUGGUAGUCCA